rnacentral:rRNA from 1 species
GACGGAGGAUGCAAGCGUUAUCCGGAAUUAUUGGGCGUAAAGCGUCCGCAGGUGGCCUUUCAAGUCUGCUGUCAAAGACCGGGGCUUAACCCCAGAAAGGCAGUGGAAACUGAAAAGCUAGAGAGAGGUAGGGGCAGAGGGAAUUCCCAGUGUAGCGGUGAAAUGCGUAGAGAUUGGGAAGAACACCGGUGGCGAAAGCGCUCUGCUGGACCUUAUCUGACACUCAGGGACGAAAGCUAGGGGAGCGAAUGGG